rnacentral:lncRNA from 1 species
GUCUAAUUCCCACAUUGUCACAGGAACAUGUGUGAUGGUGGUAGUCAUCCUUGUGGAUUGUCCUCUUGUUCUUCAAAGAUCAUUAAACACAAUUACAGGAAAAGAGAUCUUUGUUUCUGAGCAAAACUCGGCUUUUAUGUAACAGAUGCUCAUUGUGACGUGAACGUAAUUUCAGUACCUGCAUAGGAGAAAUGACGACCGGAGCCACCCGAGCUUAAAGACAUAUUGAUUGUGAUCUGGUAGCUAGAAGAUGACAAGUUGCCUGAUGGUGAAGGUCAACCACACAGUCAUCUGCUGAAGGUCAACUGCUGGCACACAGACCUCUCAGGUUGGAUUUGGGGUUUGAAAGCCAGCACACCAAGUUCCCGUUCGUGUUACAGAUGUUGCAUUGACUCCAAGUUGGCAUGAACAGCAAUAUGAGCUUGUACACAAGACCCUGGUUUGACAGAAAGGUUUGCACAGGUUUCAGAAGCACUUCUGAAAACAGAAACGUUCUUCUUGAAAAACUGUAUGUAUCACUCCACAAAAAGUACAACCAAUCUAUUAAGUGAUCCAAGUAAGACUGCAAGACAGCC